CACUGUUGUCAGGUUGAAGAACCUGGUUCUUCAACUCAGUAUUUUUAUUAUCACUUUCAUUUGCUCUAGACUCUAGACUUUUACAUUUUGCUUUUAGGAUCACACAUUCCCUAGACAAAACUUUCUUCUCAUUGUUGAUUAUUUCAGACUCAUCAAUGAAGUCUAUUAAUAGUUCAGCUAGUUUUUCUUUAGACAAGAAUUUAAUCUUGUCUUUGAGAUGAAGAAUACUUACCUCUUGUUCAUCAUCUAAUUCUCCGAUGGCUAUUAGAGCUUGCUCCUCCCCAGUUUCAUCUUCUGAGUGUUCAUCUGAGGUUUCUCCCCAAGCAGCGGCCAUAGCCUUAGUUGAACCUGUUCAUUCUUCUUGUUUCUUUGUUCAGCUCUUUCCUUUUUCCACUCAAUUUCCCAUUGAGGAUAGUUUUUGAUAAUGUGGUCGGUCUUGCCACACUUGAAGCAUCCCUCAUUUGCC
rnacentral:lncRNA from 1 species